CGCACACAUUACGCACACAAACGCUUGGCUGAGAAAGCACUCAACACUUCUCAGCGGUCACCUGUAUAGAGAGAGAGGUCUGUGGUGUUAUUGAGCUGAAAGAGUACACUAACACAAUCAAUGAUCCACUGGCUCACUUCACACCCAUUAGUCAAUCAUUAAUUCCAGUGGAAUGUAAAAAAGAGCCUGCAGGUUCCCAUGCAGAAGAGGAGAGGGGAAAAAAAGAGAGAAAACAGUAGUGUGAGGUUCCCAUGCAGAAGAAACGAGGAGAGGAAUAAAAAAGAGAGAACAUAGUAGUGUGAGGUUUGCAGCAGUGUGAGGUUCCCAUGCAGAAGAAACGAGGAAAGGGAAAAAAAAAAAGAUAGAAAAUAGUAGUGUGAGGUUUGCAGCAAGCUAAAAAGAGAGUGAGGAAAAAGAAAAAGUCCUGCGUCUUUUACGCACAAAAUAGAGGAGGAAAAAAGAGGAUACCUGUGCGCUCCCAGGACAAAUG